rnacentral:misc_RNA from 1 species
GAUGAAGAACGUAGUGAAAUGCGAUACGUAAUGUGAAUUGCAGAAUUCAGUGAAUCAUCGAAUCUUUGAACGCAUAUUGCGCUCUCUGGUAUUCCGGAGAGCAUGCUUGUUUGAGUAUCAGUAAACACCUCAACUCCCCUUUCUUUUUUGAAAUGGGAGCUGGACUUGAGUGAUCCCAACGCUUUUCUCACCGAAAAGUGGCGGGUUACUUGAAAUGCAGGUGCAGCUGGACUUUUCUCUGAGCUAAAAGCAUAUCUAUUUAGUCUGCCUAAAAACAGAUUAUUACCUUUGCUGCAGCUAACAUAAAGGAGAUUAGUUCUUGUGCUGACUGAUGCAGGAUUCACAGAGACAGCUUCGGCUGGCCUUUGUAAACUCGAUCUCAAAUCAAGUAAGACUACCCGCUGAACUUAAGCAUAUCAAUAAGCGGAGGA